rnacentral:lncRNA from 1 species
UAGAUGAUUGCUCCACAUCCAGCACCUAACACCAGUACUCAGUUAAAUUUUUUGCUGAAUAAAUCAAUGAAUGGAGAGGUAAAGAGGAACCAGAAGUUGGGGUUACAGAAGUCACUGAUGGAAGAGUUUCAAGAUAGUAGAAGUGGUCAGCCCUGUUAAGUGACAAGCCAAGGACUGAAGAAAGACUGGCAGAUUUGGCAAUCAGAUGAAGUGACCUGACCAAAGAGCAGCUUGUGUGAAGUAGUGAGGACAGGCGCUGGUCUGCGACUGGUUUAGGAGGAAAUGGAAAUGAAGAAGAAGAGAUAGAGUCUCGCUCAGUUUCCAGGCUGGAGUGUAAUGGCGUGAUCUUGGCUCACUGCAACCUCUGCCUCCCAGCUUCAAGUGAUUCCCCUGCUUUAGCCUCCCAAGCAGCUGGGACUACAGGCAUGCACCAGCAUGGCCGGCUAAUUUUUUUUUGUAUUUUAGUACAGAUGGGGUUUAACCAUGUUGGCCAGGAUGAUCUUGAUCUCCUGACCUCGUGAUCUGCCCACCUCGGCCUCCCAAAGUGCUAGGAUUACAGGCGUGAGCCACCUUGCCCGGCCUUCUAUUCCUUUUUCUAAUGCAUUUGCCCCAGCUAUCUGUAUAGCCUGCAAUCUGGUAGAUGGACCACAGG